GAUUUGGUGGCUAUUAUAGGUAUUGCUGAUAUCAUAGGCAAAAGAUUUGGGUCGAUGAAGCUUCCUUUUAAUCAACAGAAGAGUUGGGCGGGUAGCAUAUCCAUGUUUGGUUGUGGAUUCCUGAUUUCCAUCGGGAUGCUGUAUUACUAUUCAGUUCUGGGAUAUUUCCAAUUGGAUUGGGGAACAACAGUGCAAAAAGUGGCUCUAGUAUCCUUGGUUGCAACAGUGGUGGAGUCCCUUUCAACCACAGAUGUAGUAGAUGACAACAUAUCAGUUCCUUUAGCAAGCAUGGCAAUGGCAUUUUUCAGUUUUGGUUAUUAGCUCGCAAUCGCAGCACCCUUUUUUUUCCCUUCUAUAAAUUGCCAUACUAAUAAUAGUAGUGGCUCAAUAAUAAAUAGUGAUGUUAUUGAAAUCCUGAAAAGUGAGGGAGUGAUGUAUCCUUUCAAUAUCCUUGAAAUCCCAGCAAAUUAAAAACAUUUUGAGUUAUUAAUA